AUACAGAGGGAGCAAGCGUUGUUCGGAUUUACUGGGCGUAAAGGGUGCGUAGGUGGCUUUGUAUGUCGGAUGUGAAAUCCCGCGGCUCAACCGCGGAACUGCAUUCGAAACUGCAGGGCUAGAGUGCAGGAGGGGAGAGCGGAAUUCUUGGUGUAGCGGUGAAAUGCGUUGAUAUCAAGAAGAACACCGGUGGCGAAGGCGGCUCUCUGGAAUGCUACUGACACUGAGGCACGAAAGCUGGGGGAGCGAACAGGAUUAGAUACCCCAGUAGUCC
rnacentral:rRNA from 1 species